AUUGAACGCUGGCGGCAGGCCUAACACAUGCAAGUCGAGCGAGCGGCGGAUGGGUGAGUAAUGUCUGUGAGACUGCCUGUUGGAGGGGGAUAACUGCUGGAAACGCUAGCUAAUACCGCAUACCAUCAGAUGUGCCCAGAUGGGGUUAGCUAGUAGGUGGGGUAACGGCUCACCUAGGCGACGAUCCCUAGCUGGUCUGAGAGGAUGAUCAGCCACACUGGAACUGAGACACGGUCCAGACUCCUACGGGAGGCAGCAGUGGGGAAUAUUGCACAAUGGGCGCAAGCCUGAUACAGCCAUGCCGCGUGUGUGAAGAAGGCCUUCGGGUUGUAAAGCACUUUCAGCGGGGAGGCGUUACCCGCAGAAGAAGCACCGGCUAACUCCGUGCCAGCAGCCGCGGUAAUUC
rnacentral:rRNA from 1 species